rnacentral:rRNA from 1 species
GAUGAACGCUAGCGGCAGGCCUAACACAUGCAAGUCGAGGGGCAACACAGAAACAGCAAUGUUUUGGUGGCGGCCGGCAGACGGGUUCGUAACGCGUAUGCAACCUCCCUUUAACCGGGGGCUAACGGAGAGAAAUUUCCACUAAUACCCAAUAACAUCGCACAAGGCCUAUUGAUUGGUUGAAAAAUCCAGCUGUUAAAGUGGGGCAUGCGUUGUAUUAGGUAUUUGGGGAGGUAAUGGCGCACCAAGCCUACGAUACAUAGGGGGACUGAGAGGUUAGCCCCCCACACUGGUACUGAGACACGGACCAGACUCCUACGGGAGGCAGCAGUGAGGAAUAUUGGUCAAUGGGGGCAACCCUGAACCAGCCAUGCCGCGUGCAGGAAGACGGCUCUAUGAGUUGUAAACUGCUUUUAAACAGGGAUAAAGCACAGUAUGUAUACUGUGUUGAAGGUACUGUAAGAAUAAGGAUCGGCUAACUCCGUGCCAGCAGCCGCAGUAA